AUUGAACGCUGGCGGCAGGCCUAACACAUGCAAGUCGGACGGUAGCACAGAGGAGCUUGCUCUUCGGGUGACGAGUGGCGGACGGGUGAGUAAUGUCUGGGGAUCUGCCCGAUAGAGGGGGAUAACCACUGGAAACGGUGGCUAAUACCGCAUAACGUCGCAAGACCAAAGAGGGGGACCUUCGGGCCUCUCACUAUCGGAUGAACCCAGAUGGGAUUAGCUAGUAGGCGGGGUAACGGCCCACCUAGGCGACGAUCCCUAGCUGGUCUGAGAAGAUGACCAGCCAAACUGGAACUGAGACACGGUCCAGACUCCUACGGGAGGCAGCAGUGGGGAAUAUUGCACAAUGGGCGCAAGCCUGAUGCAGCCAUGCCGCGUGUAUGAAGAAGGCCUUCGGGUUGUAAAGUACUUUCAGCGGGGAGGAAGGCGAUGUGGUUAAUAACCGCGUCGAUUGACGUUACCCGCAGAAGAAGCACCGGCUAACUCCGUGCCAGCCGCCGCCGUAA
rnacentral:rRNA from 1 species